AUGGGGGCAAUAUUCAACAUACUUGAGCGGUUCAGACUGGAAUCUUACUACAACCAGUUUUUCCAGUUGGGCGUCAAGGAUGAGCGAGAUUUCUUGGAUGGUGUCACAGAUGAAGACCUACAUAACAUUGGUUUCAGUCAUGUCGAGAAGAAUCGUUUUUCAGCUAUGAAGAACUUCAUUCAAAGACUCAGAGCUCCAGGGCGCAAAGUUCAAACGGUGACACCUGUGCAAAAGUCAUUGGAGCCGUUCUGUCUGCAGUACACAUACCCGAAAUGUCCUCAACCAAAACAUAUUACAGGUAAGAGGAACACAUAUUUUAUAAUCAAUGUCUGAUCAUUAGAUAAACUCAGGCCAGCCACAGACUUCCUGAUUAUACAGUAGGCUGUAGUAGGUGUUAUAUGAUAAAUAAAAUGUGAUGAAUGCAAUAUGGUAAUCAGACAUUCCACAGGAAACUGAACCAGCUUAACAGUUGUUAUUUUGAACAUACAGAUAUGGACCCAGCACAAAACACAGUUGAGGACCUCAUGUUGAGGAUCGGUCAUCUUGAAACUGUUGGCAAUUCUAAAGGAGUCUGCCUCUACACAAUCGAUGGGAUGCCCUUGACAGAUGAUCCCUUCUUCAACACAUGUGAGCAGACCUGAAGACAUUUUAAAGAGAAAUUUACUAAAUCUUACAUUCUGAAAUGCAAAGAUUUCAUUUAUUUAUUUGAUUUUGCUGCAGAUGUGGGUACAACACUGACAGUUGGGGUUAGCCUUGACAUUAGCCCUUACCCUUAACAGAGUUUAACGUAGAGUGAAUAUUUGAUUUACAGUCAUCAGGUGGCCAGACAACAUCUCCAAACAAAUAAUGAUAUUGCUCUGAUGUGUAAAUAGAUUUUCAACCUACGUUUUUGACUCCUCAUGCAGGGUCUUUGAAAGACAGACAUAUCCGGACUGGAGACGUAAUUUACGCCAUCUUUACACCGAAGGAAAACCUGAAACAGGCUCCACAGAUACCAAAACGAGAGACUGGUGAAACCUAUGGAGACAGUGUGGUUCGAUGCCAUGUCAUGCUCAAGGUGUUUGGUGCUGAUCACAGAGUGAAGAUACGGGUAUUCCAGACAAAACAGUUUUUUAAAUGGUUUUUAUUUUCUUCGUACAGGGAGACUUUGAGGUGACAGUGAACUUGGCAUGUGACACCAUAACCAGUCUGAGACUCAAGCUGGCAAAUGAGAGUGGAAUCCCGGCACAUGUCCUUUAUUACAAGUAAUUUUAGAAUUAAUGACACCAAGCAUUGAUAUUAUGCUUAUUGUGAUCAUCUCUGUCAUAGUACUGCUGUGCUGUCUACUUCAUUUCAUAUUUGCAGGGGUCGACAUUGUGGAGGAGACAUACUGCAAGGUUGUGGAAUCUCUGAAGGGUCGACAGUUUUCUUCUCUUUGUCCACGUUUUCUGCUGAGACUUCGUAUGAGGAGACAUUCUUCAUCAAUGAUGUCGUGCCUUCAGUCCAACAAUCCCAGAAAGGAAUCAGUGUGUUCUUGUCUUCACUUUACGCCCUUGUAAGUUUUAUGUUUUAAUACAUUAUCAGUCUGUACUGUACUUGCACAUGCAUGCCAACAUGCUAAACUAAGGAUGAUCAUGGAACCGAUUAAUUCUGUUUAGCGACAGCAUAUUAGCAUUGUCAUUAUGAGCAUGUCGGGAUCAUAGUUUUCUGUUAGCAUGCUGACUUUAGCAUUUAGCAUAUAUCAUAUAAUUUAUAGCUCAUAGACUUGUUUCCAGAUUAAACGUAACAGUUAACUGAUCUGAAAAGAUGGCAAAUCUAGUUAAAAAGGUAAAAGUUUCUGCAUUGUAAAUUCAUUUUACCCCAACUUCUCAUGUGUGAUUCACCCUGUUUUGAAAUCCUUUUUUUUUUGUUUUUCUCUCUCCUUCUAGCGAUGUUGUUAUAAGGGAGAGAAAAUGAAGAAACUGAUUUCUUACAUACGGAAACUGACUGGAUGUCACCCUCUCGCCCAAAGUUUGUAUCAGUUAUUCAGCAGGAAUGAAACACUAACCAGGAAUCAGAAGGUAAACUAUGAACUGGUAUAAUUCUGACUUUAACAUCCUCUCCUAUUGCACUUUUUUAAAUGUUCUAGUGUGCUGGAUUUUAUUUUGAGGAUUUGCAUUAAUGGUCAAAGCAGUAGAUAUCUCUGCACACAACAUGUUCACCCUGUGCAGCGUUUCAAAAGGAAGUUUUCCUCAAUUUUGGGUGAACUGAACCUUUACACAGAAAGUGUACUUUCACCAGUACCCGUAUCUUCAGGUCUCCUUGUUUCGUUUUUUUGUUUUUGUUUUUUUUUUGGCAGAUUUCAGUUAUUGAAGGCCUUUACGUGCUCUUCAGAGAGCUUUUGCCUCAACCUGGAAGACAAGGGGAGAAAGUCAUUGAGGACCUGGACAUCUUUGAGAAUUCACAGUACUGCUGGGCACAUCUUGUAUCAGAGGCAGAGGUACGAUGAUAGUAAGGUUUUGAUAUGAGCUUGUUGAGGGUAACGGCAGUGAUUUUAGACUGAAGUCUCUCAAGUAUUUACUUGUAUUUUUUAUUGUAUAUGAUAUCUAUGACACCUUGGUAGAGGUGGCCAUUAAUUUGAGCCUAUAGGUGAUACAUGAUUAGAAUAUUCAUUAAUGCAUGAAGGCAAAUUCUGCAUUGACUAUUUUUGACAGAAACAGGAAUCGGAUCUUGAGAGCUACGCGCCAAUCACUCUCACGUCGGAAGAUGGCAGCCGUUUCUGCGAACCAGUCAGAGUACCCGGUGUACCCGGUCCCCUUGAACGAGCGCAUGUUCUCCUGAAAAUCAAAGGUAAAACUCAGACAUUGUUACAUAACACAUCACGUAUGAGGAAACACAUUGCAGAAGAAAAUGAAGGUAGGUGUUCCGCGGUUUAUUCAACUGCUCAGCCUUUUCACUUUUAUUGUGAAGCUGCUAUUGUUGAACUGAUAACGGCUCUGUGCAGCAAGGUAUGGAGGCAGUUGCAGUGAGAUACUUGGAUUAAGAGCUACUGACACUCACUGCAGUUUGUGCCGAACAUCAAGCCUCAAAAACACCUUUCUGGUGACGUCCUGUUGUAUGGAAUCACUUAUUGUCUGCAUCUAACUCUGUGAUUAUGGUCGCUUGUGUCAUGUUUAUCCCAACUGUAUGGAGAUUCAGGAAGAGUACUUAUAACAUGUAUUAAGUUUAAGUGAACUAUCAGAUGUUAUCAGCUUCACUUAAUUAUCUAUGCUUUUGUUUAGAUGGAGAGAAAAUUCCAAACUGCAGUGAGGAGGUCUUGCGUGAAACUUCAUUACAGAGAGCCAUCGACAUUGAAAAAAUCCUGCUCAGUCUGCCACCAUCCAUUAGAACGUACCCUCUUUGGAUUCACCAUGACAAGACAACUGGUCAGAAGUAUGUAUGAAUAGAGUUUAACUUUUUUGAAAUUCAAAGAGAUGCUUUUUUUUCUAAAUAUAUUUAAAUAGGAUUAUUUAGUUGUUAUAGUGUUCUUGCAGGUGAUCCUCAG
rnacentral:lncRNA from 1 species